UACGGGGGGUGCGAGCGUUGUCCGGAAUCACUGGGCGUAAAGGGCGCGUAGGUGGUUUGAUAAGGGUGUGGUGAAAGCCCGGGGCUCAACCCCGGGUCUGCCGUGCCGACUGUCAAACUCGAGGGCUGUAGAGGCAGACGGAAUUCCGGGUGUAGCGGUGGAAUGCGUAGAGAUCCGGAGGAAGACCGGUGGCGAAGGCGGUCUGCUGGAUCGGUACUGACGCUGAGGUGCGAAAGCGUGGGGAGCAACAGG
rnacentral:rRNA from 1 species